rnacentral:rRNA from 1 species
UACGGGGGGUGCAAGCGUUAUCCGGAAUUAUUGGGCGUAAAGCGUCUGUAGGUUGCUUAAUAAGUCUGUUGUUAAAGACUGGGGCUUAACCCCAGGAAAGCAAUGGAAACUGUUGGGCUAGAGUAUGGUAGAGGUAGAGGGAAUUCCUAGUGUAGCGGUGAAAUGCGUAGAUAUUAGGAAGAACACCGGUGGCGAAAGCGCUCUACUGGGCCAUUACUGACACUCAGAGACGAAAGCUAGGGUAGCAAAUGGGAUUAGAUACCCCAGUAGUCCUAGCCGUAAACGAUGGAUACUAGGUGUUGCGUAUUAAUACGGUGUCGUAGCUAACGCGUUAAGUAUCCCGCCUGGGGAGUACACUCGCAAGGGUG